rnacentral:rRNA from 1 species
GGGGACUUUCGGCUGCAGGGUCGACGAUUCCUACGGGAGGCAGCAGUGGAGGAAUAUUGCGCAAUGGGGGAAACCCUGACGCAGCAACGCCGCGUGAACGAUGAAGGCCUUCGGGUCGUAAAGUUCUUUUCUGAAGGAAGAUAACGACGGUACUUCAGGAAUAAGUCCCGGCUAACUACGUGCCAGCAGCCGCGGUAAAACGUAGGGGGCGAGCGUUAUCCGGAUUUAUUGGGCGUAAAGCGCGCGUAGGCGGCGCUGUAAGUUGGACGUGAAAGCUCUCGGCUUAACUGAGAGAGGUCGUUCAAAACUGCAGUGCUUGAGGUUGGAAGAGGAGAGUGGAAUUCCCGGUGUAGUGGUGGAAUGCGUAGAUAUCGGGAGGAACACCAGUGGCGAAAGCGACUCUCUGGUCCACACCUGACGCUGAGGUGCGAAAGCGUGGGUAGCGAACGGGAUUAGAUACCCCGGUAGUCCACGCCGUAAACGAUGGAUACUAGGUGUAGGAGGUCAUUUACCCCUUCUGUGCCGAAGCAAACGCGUUAAGUAUCCCGCCUGGGGACUACGGCCGCAAGGCUAAAACUCAAAUGAAUUGACGG